rnacentral:misc_RNA from 1 species
GUGAAUCAUCAAAUCUUUGAACGCAAAUUGCACUCUCUGGUAUUCCGGAGAGUAUGCCUGUUUGAGGGUCAGUUUAUAUAAAAAUCGGUUUGGUGGCUGCCUUUCUGGGUGACUUACCGGUUUUGGGGCGUCUUGCCUUCGGUUAAUUGAUUUAAAAUUUUUCAUGAUUUAUUUCGAACGUAUUUAAAUGAUUUUACGUACGGUUGCGUCAUCGAAUACUAGGUGUGGUCAUCGUUAUGAUUCGCUCCG